rnacentral:rRNA from 1 species
CACAAGUUAUGUUGUGUUAUCGACAAGUGAAUUCAUAGCUUGUCAGAAGGCAGACCCGGAGAACUGAAACAUCUUAGUACCCGGAGGAAGAGAAAGAAAAUUCGAUUCCCUGAGUAGCGGCGAGCGAAACGGGAAGAGCCCAAACCAAUAAGCUUGCUUAUUGGGGUUGUAGGACACUCUAUACGGAGUUACAAAGGAAUAUAUUAAACGAAUCAUCUGGAAAGUUGAAUCAAAGAAGGUAAUAAUCCUGUAGUUGAAAAUAUAUUCUCUCUUGAGUGGAUCCUGAGUACGACGGAGCACGUGAAAUUCCGUCGGAAUCUGGGAGGACCAUCUCCUAAGGCUAAAUACUCUCUAGUGACCGAUAGUGAACCAGUACCGUGAGGGAAAGGUGAAAAGUACCCCGGAAGGGGAGUGAAAGAGAACUUGAAACCGUGUGCUUACAAGUAGUCAGAGCCCGUUAAUGGGUGAUGGCGUGCCUUUUGUAGAAUGAACCGGCGAGUUACGAUCUGAUGCAAGGUUAAGCAGAAAAUGUGGAGCCGUAGCGAAAGCGAGUCUGAAUAGGGCGUAUAGUAUUUGGUCGUAGACCCGAAACCAGGUGAUCUACCCAUGGUCAGGUUGAAGUUCAGGUAACACUGAAUGGAGGACCGAACCGACUUACGUUGAAAAGUGAGCGGAUGAACUGUGGGUAGCGGAGAAAUUCCAAUCGAACUUGGAGAUAGCUGGUUCUCUCCGAAAUAGCUUUAGGGCUAGCCUCAAGUGAUGAUUAUUGGAGGUAGAGCACUGUUUGGACGAGGGGCCC